GGAAUUUUGGGCAAAGGGCGAAAGCCUGACCCAGCAACGCCGCGUGAAGGAUGAAGUCCCUCGGGAUGUAAACUUCGGAAACAUGGGAAGAAUAAAUGACGGUACCAUGUCUACGCUCCGGCUAACUACGUGCCAGCAGCCGCGGUAAUACGUAGGGAGCAAGCGUUGUUCGGAUUUACUGGGCGUAAAGGGUGCGUAGGCGGCGCGUCAAGUCACUUGUGAAAUCUCCGGGCUUAACUCGGAACGGCCAAGUGAUACUGUCGUGCUAGAGUGCGGAAUGGGCAACCGGAAUUCUUGGUGUAGCGGUGAAAUGCGUAGAUAUCAAGAGGAACACCUGAGGCGAAGGCGAGUUGCUGGGCCGACACUGACGCUGAGGCACGAAAGCCAGGGGAGCG
rnacentral:rRNA from 1 species